ACUCCCCAACAGUUCACACCAGCACAGGCGUGGAUGAGACAGCUGUAGACGAUGGAGAAGGGAACAGUCACAAAUGUAGAUGAUGGAGGGGGACAGUCACAAAUGUAGAUGAUGGAGGGGGACAGUCACAAAUGUAGAUGAUGGAGGGGGACAGUCACAAAUGUAGAUGAUGGAGGGGGGACAGUCACAAAUGUAGAUGAUGGAGGGGGGACAGUCACAGCUGUAGAUGAUGGAGGGGGACAGUCACAAAUCUGAGUCGUCUGCACGGCGGCAGCUUUUGCUCCACCCGGGUCCACCUGACCACAUUCAAACGACUCCAUCUCACCAUAAAAUGGUCGGAUUAAACGGAUGGUUGGACGCGGAAAUGGCUCAGCGGGUGGGAG